rnacentral:lncRNA from 1 species
CAGCAAAAGAUCAAACAAUUUAUGGAAUCCAUUCAUUCUCGGAACACAAUUCAAGGAACAAUGGGAAUUCUUGUUUGAGAAAUUGAUAAAUGAUAAAGCAAAAGACAAGAGACAUCAAAAAUCUUAGAUGACAUUCUAACAAUAUAAUUCUAGUGAAACCGUACAUGAGUACACUAUAAAAAGAAAAGGUAGAAGAAAAAAAAAACCGUGACAUUGUUAUAAUAACGAUAAUAGACAGCACAUUACGGAAGACCAAAUAAAUACAAAUAGAAGCAAAUAUGGGUAUCUUUGUUUAUGAAUUGAAAGCAAGCACUCUGAUGCUUUUUGACUCCUUCCUUUUAGCAUCAUCUCUCUGGAGGCUAUAAAAGAUUUGCAAGCGCUAAAUUAAGCUCCGCAAGGCUUUAAAGGUGGAUCGGCACAAUCAUCAAGCUCCUUAAAGGUAACAAUGAUGGAGCUCCUUGAACCAGAGUACAAUCUAGGAAGAUCUGUCCAUGGGCAAAUAAAGGAGAACUAAAUUAGAGAUUCCAUAACGUAGUAAAAUUGUAUGAACCUUCUAAUCACUCUCACAGAUUUUGUAUAAAAUGGUAAAAUAUAUGAGAACAAGGAAGCGAUCCAGUUGGUAUAUAUUUGGAUAAAUCUAACAAUUUUCAAACAAAAUGGCAACAGUCAUAUUGGAUCUUAAAAUGUGCAUUUUAAGUUAAAUUUGCAUAUAAAGAAAUGGAGAAAAAAAAAAAAAGAACGAAGCAACAAAUAGG